AGAGUUUGAUCAUGGCUCAGAUUGAACGCUGGCGGCAGGCCUAACACAUGCAAGUCGAACGGUAACAGGAAUCAGCUUGCUGAUUUGCUGACGAGUGGCGGACGGGUGAGUAAUGUCUGGGAAACUGCCUGAUGGAGGGGGAUAACUACUGGAAACGGUAGCUAAUACCGCAUAACGUCGCAAGACCAAAGAGGGGGACCUUCGGGCCUCUUGCCAUCGGAUGUGCCCAGAUGGGAUUAGCUAGUAGGUGGGGUAACGGCUCACCUAGGCGACGAUCCCUAGCUGGUCUGAGAGGAUGACCAGCCACACUGGAACUGAGACACGGUCCAGACUCCUACGGGAGGCAGCAGUGGGGAAUAUUGCACAAUGGGCGCAAGCCUGAUGCAGCCAUGCCGCGUGUAUGAAGAAGGCCUUCGGGUUGUAAAGUACUUUCAGCGGGGAGGAAGGGAGUAAAGUUAAUACCUUUGCUCAUUGACGUUACCCGCAGAAGAAGCACCGG
rnacentral:rRNA from 1 species